AAUAGAUACCCCGGUAGUCCACGCCGUAAACGAUGUCGACUUGGAGGUUGUGCCCUUGAGGCGUGGCUUCCGGAGCUAACGCGUUAAGUCGACCGCCUGGGGAGUACGGCCGCAAGGUUAAAACUCAAAUGAAUUGACGGGGGGCCCGCACAAGCGGUGGAGCAUGUGGUUUAAUUCGAUGCAACGCGAAGAACCUUACCUACUCUUGACAUCCAGAGAACUUGCCAGAGAUGGCUUGGUGCCUUCGGGAACUCUGAGACAGGUGCUGCAUGGCUGUCGUCAGCUCGUGUUGUGAAAUGUUGGGUUAAGUCCCGCAACGAGCGCAACCCUUAUCCUUUGUUGCCAGCGGUUAGGCCGGGAACUCAAAGGAGACUGCCAGUGAUAAACUGGAGGAAGGUGGGGAUGACGUCAAGUCAUCAUGGCCCUUACGAGUAGGGCUACACACGUGCUACAAUGGCGCAUACAAAGAGAAGCGACCUCGCGAGAGCAAGCGGACCUCAUAAAGUGCGUCGUAGUCCGGA
rnacentral:rRNA from 1 species